rnacentral:lncRNA from 1 species
CUCUGCUGGUAUUGCUCUUCUCCGUGUGAUUAAGGACACCCCCAUCACAUUUUGUUGAAGGUACAAGAGGGAUGGCUCUUCAUCAAUCUCAUGGAAAGAUUAGUGAGGAAGAUCUGGUAGGAGUAAGACAAUGCAUUUUAAGCAGCUCUCAUUUUUAAAUGGUAACAGCAGCUUCUCUUGCUUGCCCUGUGCAAUGUUCUAACAAAAUGUUGUGGACAAGCCCUUAGGGCUAUUUCCCUUGCUUAUUGUCCUGACUGAGCACUCAGUAUGAAACCAUGAUGUAACCAUGGGUUUCCAGCUCCAGUCACAAGUAACAGUUUACAGUCACAGUUUACUUUUACACAAGUAAACUGACUUCUGGUUUAGCAAUGUGUAAAAUACUGUCAAAUUUCUGCAGUAUGAGCUUCACAGCAGGCGUUAACAGGCUAUUUGCCAUUGGUUUGCUUGGUACCUUGUGUGGUGGGGCUUUUCAUACCUGCUCUGAAUGCCACCUGUCCUGAAUAAAGAUAGUUAGCAAGCGGGAGAAAGGGCUCGGUGCAGGCAUUGCUGUGAGGGUCCAUCCCCCUGGUCAGGCCUAAGUGAUUGAUCAUGUGACAUUCUCAGUGUUCUAGCACUGAGUCAUGCCUCAGGGGAAUGCCAGCCAUUGCCACCUACUCUUCAGAGAAGUUUCAAACGAAGGAAAAAGUGAAAUGAAAGAAUGAAGACACUUGAGGUGUGAGUGGGAUGAGACUCUGCCACAAGGCUGCUGCCAGCUGCUAGAAGCAGAGCCUGCUGCUACAGGAUGUACACUAUUCACAGGAGCAGCCUCUCAGCGCUGAUUAUCACUGAAGAGGUCCUCGCUCUCCAUCGCUGCACCCUGCGCGCAGCCGGACUGCCGAGCGCGGGAGGAAGGCUCUCCCCUCUCCUCAGGCCCAUGAAGAGUCUUGAUGAGCGAUGACUUCACGUUGUUCAGCAUGGGAACCUGUCUGCAAACCUGAGGCCUUAAUACUUGCUUUAAUACCUCAGCUGAAGAUAACAGAAAGUUCAUUUGCUGCUGACUGCUGAAAUGAAGCUUGCUUUUCCAUCACAUUCUUAUAAUUUUUCUGCAAAUCCAGUGUGUUGUAAGGAUUAAUAAGACAUUUCUGGUUUUCUCUCAGAUACUAAUCACUGUUUUAUAAGAAAAUUUUCCAUCAGUCAUACUUAUUCUUGCCAUUACGUGGUAGCACAGAAGCUGUUUGAAUGUGGCAGAAAGCAAAGUUCACCUAGAAGCAAAAUCAUUGUUUCCGGAUGUGGAGGAUUUUUCAAAACUUAGCCCUUCAGUUAAAAUGAGCAAGAGCAUUCCCCCUUGCUGGGGCUAAUGCAUUGGGUAGUUCAGUGCAGAUGGAAUUUUUUAAAAAUACAGCAAGAAAUCUUCCCCAAGAGUCUUUAGUUACAAAUGGAAACUACCAGACAUUUAAAAUCAGGGGAUGCUCUGUAUUCUUGUCAUGGGGCUAAUCUUGAAAAGUAUGACUCAAACUUUACAGAUUUCAAACGUUGUGAAUGUUAACUGAAAUGUAAUAAAAAAUCAUAGUCAUAAGUAUGACUGCUCUUU